UAGAUUUCUAAAGGAUGAACAAAAUGAGUGUUUUGCGAUCUGUUGGGAAUUGGCUAGAUUUAUGGUUGAUUUUCUAGUUGGGUAAAAAUUAAUAUUUAAAUCUAUUGAAGAUAAAUUAAGAUUUAAAUAUUAAUUAGAGUAUAAAUCUAACUAUAUUAUGAUAAAUAUUUAAAUUUAUUGGAGAUAAAUUAAAUAUAGAUUUAAAUAUUAUUUGUAGGAAUCCUAAUUAUAUUAUAAUUGGAUUACGUUCUAUUGUAAGCAUCAGAAAGAGAGCUCGGAUUUGAAGCUAUUCCGUUAUAGAAGAAGAGUCAUGUGUAAUUUUAUCUUAUUUAGUGAAUCUUAUUUUAUCCAUAUAUUUUUUGUUUGAUUUUUUUUCUUUUGUAAUUGUAUUAGAUUUUGCCGAGGAGAUUGAUUUAUAAUAAAAAUCCGAUUCGACGCUUCCAUUGUGAAAUCCCAACAAUCGAUAACGGAUCAACAAUAGUCGAUAUAAGAGCGGGUUGUAAAUUCUUAAUAUUUGAUAUCAAGAAGAGUAACACUACCUUUUCUCUGAAAAUAAAGCAAAUAAAAGAGAAAAAGCUACUACAAUCAAAUGGUUGGGACCAUUCAAGUCAAAUAGCUCAAACAUAAUUUGUAUUUUGGUUACGAUAUGUAUAUAUCACAUGGUUUUUUUAGAUGGAUUUUAUGGCCGUAUCUUGUUAGAGAGAUGUAGAUUACUGAAUUAAUAUUUGGAAAGAGGAGGGGAAACUUUAAAUACCCCAUGUGGUUUCAUACUUUCUCACUUUACUAUCAUGUGAUUUAAAGUGUAUCAAGUUAGUACUAUGUGAUUUUACACUUUCUCAUUAUAGUACCUUGUGAUUUAAAGUAUAUCAAGUUAGUAUUCUCUAGUUUUAUUUUUGUAUCAAGUUUGUACUAUGUUCAUGGUUUCAUUUUUCUCUUUUUAUUAUCUAUUUCCGGAUAUUUUUUUCGUUAAAUUAAUAAUAAAAUUAAAACUAAAGGAUACUAAAAUGAAUAUUCGAUAAACCUAGCUAGGGUAUCUGAAGUUUUUUUGUAUAUAAUUUAACGAAAUAUUAAACCACAGGGUACUAAAGUGAGAAACUGCGAAACCAUAGGGUAUUAACUUGAUACACUUUAAACCACAGGGUACUAAAGUAAAAAAGUGCGAAACCAGAGGAUACUAACUUGAAACAGGGUACUAAAGUGAGAAAGUGCGAAACCACAGGUACUAAUUUACUACACUUUAAACCAUAUGGUACUAAAGUGAGAAAGUGCGAAACCACAGGGAGGUAUUUAAAGUUUUUUCUAAAAUGAAAGAGUUGGGAUAAAAGUAUAAAGAGGUAUGUUUUUUAAUUUUUCAUGAGAUUACAGCAAUUAUAA
rnacentral:lncRNA from 1 species